rnacentral:rRNA from 1 species
CGGAGAGUGCGAACGUUGUUCGGAUUCACUGGGCGUAAAGGGCACGUAGGCGGCUCGGCAAAUCGGUCGUGGAAUCCCGACGCUUACCGUCGGAACGGCGGCCGAAAAUACCGGGCUCGAGGGCGUGAGGGGUCACUGGAACUCCUGGUGAAGCGGUGAAAUGCGUAGAUAUCAGGAGGAACGCCGGAGGCGAAAGCGAGUGACUGGCGCGUUCCUGACGCUGAGGUGCGAAAGCUAGGGGAGCAAACAGGAUUAGAUACCCUGGUAGUCCUAGCCGUAAACGAUGGACACUGAGUGGGGGAGGGCUUGCCUUUCCCUGCUGCAGCUAACGCGUUAAGUGUCCCGCCUGGGGAGUACGGCCGCAAGGUUA